UUCGUAGGGGGCAUUUUAAGUUUGAUGUGAAAUCCCGAGGCUUAACCUCGGAACUGCAUUGAAAACUGGAAUACUAGAGUAUCGGAGAGGAGAGCGGAAUUCCUGGAGUAGCGGUGGAAUGCGUAGAUAUCAGGAAGAACAUCGAUAGCGAAGGCAGCUCUCUGGACGAUUACUGACCCUGAGGGACGAAAGCGUGGGUAGCGAACAGGAUUAGAUACCCUGGUAGUCC
rnacentral:rRNA from 1 species